rnacentral:rRNA from 1 species
GACGAACGCUGGCGGCGUGCCUAAUACAUGCAAGUAGAACGCUGAAGAGAGGAGCUUGCUCUUCUUGGAUGAGUUGCGAACGGGUGAGUAACGCGUAGGUAACCUGCCUUGUAGCGGGGGAUAACUAUUGGAAACGAUAGCUAAUACCGCAUAACAAUGGAUGACACAUGUCAUUUAUUUGAAAGGGGCAAUUGCUCCACUACAAGAUGGACCUGCGUUGUAUUAGCUAGUAGGUGAGGUAACGGCUCACCUAGGCGACGAUACAUAGCCGACCUGAGAGGGUGAUCGGCCACACUGGGACUGAGACACGGCCCAGACUCCUACGGGAGGCAGCAGUAGGGAAUCUUCGGCAAUGGGGGCAACCCUGACCGAGCAACGCCGCGUGAGUGAAGAAGGUUUUCGGAUCGUAAAGCUCUGUUGUAAGUCAAGAACGAGUGUGAGAGUGGAAAGUUCACACUGUGACGGUAGCUUACCAGAAAGGGACGGCUAACUACGUGCCAGCAGCCGCGGUAAUACGUAGGUCCCGAGCGUUGUCCGGAUUUAUUGGGCGUAAAGCGAGCGCAGGCGGUUUGAUAAGUCUGAAGUUAAAGGCUGUGGCUCAACCAUAGUUCGCUUUGGAAACUGUCAAACUUGAGUGCAGAAGGGGAGAGUGGAAUUCCAUGUGUAGCGGUGAAAUGCGUAGAUAUAUGGAGGAACACCGGUGGCGAAAGCGGCUCUCUGGUCUGUAACUGACGCUGAGGCUCGAAAGCGUGGGGAGCGAACAGGAUUAGAUACCCUGGUAGUCCACGCCGUAAACGAUGAGUGCUAGGUGUUGGAUCCUUUCCGGGAUUCAGUGCCGCAGCUAACGCAUUAAGCACUCCGCCUGGGGAGUACGACCGCAAGGUUGAAACUCAAAGGAAUUGACGGGGGCCCGCACAAGCGGUGGAGCAUGUGGUUUAAUUCGAAGCAACGCGAAGAACCUUACCAGGUCUUGACAUCCCGAUGCUAUUUCUAGAGAUAGAAAGUUACUUCGGUACAUCGGUGACAGGUGGUGCAUGGUUGUCGUCAGCUCGUGUCGUGAGAUGUUGGGUUAAGUCCCGCAACGAGCGCAACCCCUAUUGUUAGUUGCCAUCAUUCAGUUGGGCACUCUAGCGAGACUGCCGGUAAUAAACCGGAGGAAGGUGGGGAUGACGUCAAAUCAUCAUGCCCCUUAUGACCUGGGUUACACACGUGCUACAAUGGUUGGUACAACGAGUUGCGAGUCGGUGACGGCAAGCUAAUCUCUUAAAGCCAAUCUCAGUUCGGAUUGUAGGCUGCAACUCGCCUACAUGAAGUCGGAAUCGCUAGUAAUCGCGGAUCAGCACGCCGCGGUGAAUACGUUCCCGGGCCU